UGGGGAAUUUCGGACAAUGGGCGAAAGCCUGAUCCAGCAAUGCCGCGUGUGUGAAGAAGGCCUUCGGGUUGUAAAGCACUUUUGUCCGGAAAGAAAUCCUUGGCUCUAAUACAGUCGGGGGAUGACGGUACCGGAAGAAUAAGCACCGGCUAACUACGUGCCAGCAGCCGCGGUAAUACGUAGGGUGCAAGCGUUAAUCGGAAUUACUGGGCGUAAAGCGUGCGCAGGCGGUUUGCUAAGACCGACGUGAAAUCCCCGGGCUUAACCUGGGAACUGCAUUUGUGACUGGCGGGCUAGAGUAUGGCAGAGGGGGGUAGAAUUCCACGUGUAGCAGUGAAAUGCGUAGAGAUGUGGAGGAAUACCGAUGGCGAAGGCAGCCCCCUGGGCCAAUACUGACGCUCAUGCACGAAAGCGUGGGGAGCAAACAGGAUUAGAUACCCUGGUAGUCCACGCCCUAAACGAUGUNAACUAGUUGUCGGGUCUUCAUUGACUUGGUAACGUAGCUAACGCGUGAAGUUGACCGCCUGGGGAGUACGGUCGCAAGAUUAAAACU
rnacentral:rRNA from 1 species